GAUGAAGAACGUAGCGAAAUGCGAUAAGUAAUGUGAAUUGCAGAAUUCAGUGAAUCAUCGAAUCUUUGAACGCACCUUGCACCCUUUGGUAUUCCGAAGGGUAUGCUCGUUUGAGUGUCAUUGUACUCUCACACUUCUAAUUCCUUUCGGGAUUGGGAGCGGUGGACUUGGGUGUUGCUGCUUUAGUUGUGGCUCACCUCAAAUAAGUUAGUGCAACUCUUGGUUGGACAUAGUACGGCGUGAUAAGUGUCUUCGCCGGCGCCUCUGUAAGGAGGGUGGCCGAUCGGGAGCUCUGUGCUUCAAACCGUCUUCGGACAAUCUUUGACAACUUGACCUCAAAUCGAGUAGGACUACCCGCUGAACUUAAGCAUAUCAAGAAGCGGAGGA
rnacentral:misc_RNA from 1 species